rnacentral:misc_RNA from 1 species
GAUGAAGAACGUAGCGAAAUGCGAUACGUAAUGUGAAUUGCAGAAUUCAGUGAAUCAUCGAAUCUUUGAACGCAUAUUGCGCUCUCUGGUAUUCCGGAGAGCAUGCUUGUUUGAGUAUCAGUAAACACCUCAACUCCCUUUUCUUUUUUGAAAUUGGAGCUGGACUUGAGUGAUCCCAACGCUUUCUUCCAAGAAAGUGGCGGGUUGCUUGAAAUGCAGGUGCAGCUGAACUUUUCUCUGAGCUAUAAGCAUAUCUAUUUAGUCUGCCUAAAAAACAGAUUAUUACCUUUGCUGCAGCUAACAUAAAGGAGACUAGUUCUUGUGCUGACUGAUGCAGGAUUCACAGAGACAGCUUCGGCCGACUUUGUAAACUCGAUCUCAAAUCAAGUAAGACUACCCGCUGAACUUAAGCAUAUCAAUAAGCGGAGGA